CCUACGGGCGGCAGCAGUGAGGAAUAUUGGUCAAUGGACGAGAGUCUGAACCAGCCAAGUAGCGUGAAGGAUGACUGCCCUAUGGGUUGUAAACUUCUUUUAUAUGGGAAUAAAAUGUUCCACGUGUGGGAUUUUGUAUGUACCUUAUGAAUAAGGAUCGGCUAACUCCGUGCCAGCAGCCGCGGUAAUACGGAGGAUCCGAGCGUUAUCCGGAUUUAUUGGGUUUAAAGGGAGCGUAGGUGGAUUGUUAAGUCAGUUGUGAAAGUUUGCGGCUCAACCGUAAAAUUGCAGUUGAAACUGGCAGUCUUGAGUAUAGUAGAGGUGGGCGGAAUUCGUGGUGUAGCGGUGAAAUGCUUAGAUAUCACGAAGAACUCCGAUUGCGAAGGCAGUUCACUGGACUGCAACUGACACUGAGGCUCGAAAGUGUGGGUAUCAAACAGGAUUAGAUACCCCAGUAGUC
rnacentral:rRNA from 1 species